ensembl:snoRNA
GCGUUGCCUUUGAGCCCCCACAGUGCUUCCUUGUGGCACCAGGGGUCAGGCUGCAGUGCCAGAGCACAGGUUUGCAUAUAACUGAGGCUGCUUGCCCUCUCCGUGGGUGGCCCUUUUAACUGCAAGUGACACAG